rnacentral:lncRNA from 1 species
ACAUUGUGAUAUCAGAGUCUCCAUUCUUUUUCACAUACCCAUGGGUCCUCUCUGAGCCAAUAUCAUGAAGGAGGUUAUGAAAAUAACAACAUGACAGUCAGGAUGAUGACAGCUUGAGAAGUAAGCUGUUCCAAGACAUGGAAAGUCCUCAGAGGAGCAGACUGGAAAUGCAGUGAAAAAAUUAGAGAGGAAACCAGUGUGGGGACAUAAAACUCUCCAGAGAGGUGACUGCUAUAGCUUGGAUCUGAAAUAUCCCACAAAGACCUAAGUGUUAAAGGUUUGGUCCUCAGCUUGAUCCUAUCGGAAAGCAAUGGAAACAUUUAAGAGGGAGGCAGUAACAAGUUUCUGGUCAUUAUGGAGACUAUGGGAUGCCAGCCUCUCUCUUCUCUCUCUCUCUCUCCUCUUCUAAGCUGCAUGAAGUGAGAAGCUUACUCCAUCACAUGUCUCCCACCGUGAUCUACUGCCUCACCACAGACCCAGAAACAACAUGGCCUAGGAACCAUGUCCUGAAAUCUCUACAACUGCACCCCACGCUCUGGCUUCACUGGAAUGCUGCUGGGGCUCUGCAUCAAUGAAUUUCAACAUGCAAGUCAUGAACCACUCAGAAGAUCCUUCCAAUGGGCCUCAGGCUGAUUCCAAAGGCAAAUACUUGUUCUAGUUAUUUUGAAGUGAG